rnacentral:rRNA from 1 species
UUCUUGGUCAUUUAGAGGAAGUAAAAGUCGUAACAAGGUUUCCGUAGGUGAACCUGCGGAAGGAUCAUUAAAGAAAUUUAAUAAUUUUGAAAAUGGAUUUUUUUGUUUUGGCAAGAGCAUGAGAGCUUUUACUGGGCAAGAAGACAAGAGAUGGAGAGUCCAGCCGGGCCUGCGCUUAAAUGCGCGGUCGUGCUAGGCUUGUAAGUUUCUUUCUUGCUAUUCCAAACGGUGAGAGAUUUCUGUGCUUUUGUUAUAGGACAAUUAAAACCGUUUCAAUACAACACACUGUGGAGUUUUCAUAUCUUUGCAACUUUUUCUUUGGGCAUUCGAGCAAUCGGGGCCCAGAGGUAACAAACACAAACAAUUUUAUCUAUUCAUUAAAUUUUUGUCAAAAACAAGAAUUUUCGUAACUGGAAAUUUUAAAAUAUUAAAAACUUUCAACAACGGAUCUCUUGGUUCUCGCAUCGAUGAAGAACGCAGCGAAAUGCGAUACGUAAUGUGAAUUGCAGAAUUCCGUGAAUCAUCGAAUCUUUGAACGCACAUUGCGCCCCUUGGUAUUCCAGGGGGCAUGCCUGUUUGAGCGUCAUUUCCUUCUCAAACAUUCUGUUUGGUAGUGAGUGAUACUCUUUGGAGUUAACUUGAAAUUGCUGGCCUUUUCAUUGGAUGUUUUUUUUCCAAAGAGAGGUUUCUCUGCGUGCUUGAGGUAUAAUGCAAGUACGGUCGUUUUAGGUUUUACCAACUGCGGCUAAUCUUUUUUUAUACUGAGCGUAUUGGAACGUUAUCGAUAAGAAGAGAGCGUCUAGGCGAACAAUGUUCUUAAAGUUUGACCUCAAAUCAGGUAGGAGUACCCGCUGAACUUAAGCAUAUCAAUAAGCGGAGGAA